rnacentral:rRNA from 1 species
ACUCCAUGAAGCUGGAUUCGCUAGUAAUCGCGCAUCAGCCACGGCGCGGUGAAUACGUUCCCGGGCCUUGUACACACCGCCCGUCAAGCCAUGGAAGCCGGGGGUGCCUGAAGUGCGCUGCCGCGAGGAGCGCCCUAGGGUAAAACCGGUGACUGGGGCUAAGUCGUAACAAGGUACC